rnacentral:lncRNA from 1 species
UUAUUAACAAAUAAUUUAGAGCCAGAUAUACUCAUACAUGUAUAUUUUUAAUAAUCCUUAAUUUAUUGGCUGAUCUGUGAUAUAUGUAUAUGCUAGUACUUCCUUGCUCUUGAAAUAUAUUUACUAUAUUUAUGUAGAAAGAUUAUUUUUGGCACAAUUUAAAUUUUACAGAAUUGAAAUUAACAAUUGUAACUUGAUAUUUUUGAUUCGAGCGUCACUGAUGAGUCUUUUGUAGAUGAAACGCGUGUCUGGCAAAUAUUUAAAAUUUUAAUCCUGUUAUCUAUGAUGAGUGUUUUUGGUAUAGAAUAUAGAUGUCUUGCCAUAUCUACAUACAGUAAAGCAGGCUUCCAUCUAGUAUUGAUGCUUCAGUGGUCUUUUAAAGGUUUUUCACCAGAAGCCCAGUUUGGGAAAGUGAAUUCAUACUGCAACUUGAAAAAUUUUCAACCAGUGACAAUCUGAAAUACCAAAGCUUCUUUAUAAACAGUGAUGUUAUAUUUUUAAGAUGUCAGAUUCAACUGGGUUAUUUAUG